rnacentral:tRNA from 1 species
AUUUAUAUAAUAUAAAAAGUAUAUUUGACUUCCAAUCAUAAAGUCUAUCCUAAUAGUAUAAAUA